rnacentral:misc_RNA from 1 species
GAUGAAGAACGCAGCGAAAUGCGAUACUUGGUGUGAAUUGCAGAAUCCCGUGAACCAUCGAGUCUUUGAACGCAAGUUGCGCCCGAAGCCAUUAGGCCGAGGGCACGCCUGCCUGGGCGUCACACGUCGUUGCCCCCCCAUCUACUCCUUCGGGAUUGCGGGGGGGCGGAUGAUGGCCUCCCGUGCGCCUCGCCGCGCGGUUGGCAUAAAUGCCAAGUCCUCGGCGACGCACGCCACGACAAUCGGUGGUGGCGAAACCUCGGUUGCCCGUCGUGUGCGGUCGUCGCGCAUCGAGGGCUCGAAAAAAUUGCCGGGUUCCGGCUCGGCUUUCAACGCGACCCCAGGUCAGGCGGGGUUACCCGCUGAAUUUAAGCAUAUCAAUAAGCGGAGGA